ACCUGACUGCUAUCGGAUUGGUACUAAGCCAUGUGAGUCAUUGUAGCAAUACAAGGCAUACGGCUCAGUAACACGUAGUCAAUCUGCCCUAUGGACGUGGAUAACCUCGGGAAACUGAGAAUAAUCCGCGAUAGAUCAUAAUGCCUGGAACGGUUUAUGGUCCAAAUGAUUCGUCGCCAUAGGAUGGGACUGCGGCCUAUCAGCUUGUUGGUGAGGUAAUGGCCCACCAAGGCUAUUACAGGUACGGGCUCUGAGAGGAGAAGCCUGGAGAUGGGUACUGAGACACGGACCCAGGCCCUAUGGGGCGCAGCAGGCGAGAAACCUUUGCAAUGUGCGCAAGCACGACAAGGUUAAUCCGAGUGUUUCCUGCUAAAGGAAUCUUUUGUUAGUUCUAAAACCACUGAUGAAUAAGGGGUGGGCAAGUUCUGGUGUCAGCCGCCGCGGUAAAACCAGCACCUCAAGUGGUCAGGAGGAUUAUUGGGCCUAAAGCAUCCGUAGCCGGUUCUGUAAGUUUUCGGUUAAAUCCACUAGCUCAACUAAUGGGCUGCCGGAAAUACUGCAGAACUAGGGAGUGGGAGAGGUAGACGGUACUCGGGAGGAAGGGGUAAAAUCCUUUGAUCUCUUGAUGACCACCUGUGGCGAAGGCGGUCUACCAGAACACGUUCGACGGUGAGGGAUGAAAGCUGGGGGAGCAAACCGGAUUAGAUACCCGGGUAGUCCCAGCUGUAAACGAUGCAGACUCGGUGAUGCACUGGCUUUUGGCCAGUGCAGUGCCGCAGGAAGCCGUUAAGUUUGCCGUCUGGGAAGUACGUACGCAAGUAUGAAACUUAAAGGAAUUGGCGGGGGAGCACACAAGGGUGAAGUCUGCGGUUCAAUUGGAUUCAACG
rnacentral:rRNA from 1 species